UUUUGUCUGACCAAAACAACAUCCCUAUCUGGAUGUUUUUUGAAUGAAGUUUUGCCAUAAUAAAUCAAUUUAAAUUAAUAUAAGUAAACUAAUUGAUUCCAUGUUUCAGAUCCUGACAUAGAAAAGGAAUGAUAAGAUGUUCUUUUCAUGCUUGCUUUAUAUACAAUAUAUUUUUCAGAUAUAGCCUUUAGUCUAACUAUUCCUAUCCCAGGUCCUCUGGUUAUAAAAUGAUGGUUUAUGUUUGCUGGCCAUUGAGGAUGCUCCUAUGGACUUUGUUUUGAACCAUUGCUUUUGAUUACAUUGUAUUGAUAUGAAGUUUUCACUGCAAAUUUGAGUGUAUGCUCAACAACACAGACACGUUCUCCACUGCUUGCAGAUUUGUCUUAACAUUGUUUGUCUUUCCAGACCUUCCCUGCACUACCUUCCAUCUCAAAUUAUUCCUCCAUCCUUUGACAUUUUCUCUUGAAUCACCUACACUACCUUACCUCAAAUUUUCUUCUUCCUCUCUGUUUCUUCUUUCCUUACUCUGAAGUAUUCUUCUCAUUCCUAUAAUAGCACUUUAUCUAUAUUUACAUCACUAUUAUUUAACUUUCCUUAUCUACUGGUUUUAUUUCUCUUGUGCAGAAGUAGACACAAAAGAACAAUUUUAGUCAUUUAGUCUUCACCCACUAAAUUUAAGGGUAAUGGAAAUUCUUUUGAAGACUUCAGAAUAUUGCCACACAAGACCAUAAGAUUUUUUUUAAUGUGCAUGUCAGCAAGAUUUGUUAUGUUACUAAUAGAUCUGAAAGCACUUUUUUCUGUCUCCUAAGAUCUACGACAAAAUAAGGAAGGAAAUAUUCCCUAAUUCCAUCCUUGCUUGUAUGAAGCAAAAGACACAACAUGAAUCCUGGUGAAUGAAAUGUUCCUGCCCACAAAUCAUCAUAUAACCUGUUCACAAACUAGUGACCUCACCUGAGAACUAACAGAUGUCAAACAUGAUCAUAGUCCACUCUAAGUGCACACCAUACUUUUUGAACUUCCAUCUUUCUAAAAUACCAGCAUACAUAUUGUAACAUUUUUUUCCAGAAAAAAGAUGAUUAAGCAGAUCAUUUAAAUCUUCUUUAGAGUUCUGACUGAAGAGCAAUGGGCGCUGGUGGUUUCCAGGCUUAACAUAAACCUGGAUAAUACAGUGAACAUCACAGGACAGGAACAUGUGGAAAAAAAAGCAAGACAAAUGGACAUUAGUGAAUAAUCUAGCCACUUUUUUUUUCUUCAAACGGAUGUUUUCCAUUCCUCCCACCAACUUGACUGUAAGUAUAGUCAAUAUGCAGCAUAGUGAAACAGUGGUACACUAUGAGGCCAUAAAUCAUUGCCUCCUUCUUAUUUUUAUCUGCUACACUGAAGUAAAAUAAACUGAAAACAAGGUAUCCUCUCCUUAUUCUAUUUUUUAUCUCUGCAGUUUGGUAGACUUGCCCCAUAAAUGUUACACAUUUUUAGAUGGGAAAAUAAAUACUGCAUGUGCUUUUCACAAUUCUUGUACAGAGAGAAUUGUGAAAAAAUCUUGUGUGGAAUUUCUGGAAAAUACACAGGCAUGGAAAACUAAGGUAGCAUCAACAUCUUUGACUCUUUUCCUUGCAAAAUAGUUAGCAUAGCUUGAGAAAACCAAGAAGUGAAGCAUAUGCACUGAAUUAAAAAACUCCAACUGUUCAUAUUUCAAGUGAAUUGAAAUGAAAUAAAAAUGACAUCUAGAAAUGCAAAAGAAUAGAAAGUUAGUAUGAUGCUCAGGAGUUGUGACUCUUGGGCUAAUUGAAAGACUAAUAGCUUUGAUGAAAAGACAGUGAGAAGUCUGUGUAUUUCACAAAAGGCAUUCUGCACUUAAUCUGUAAUCAGCCUAUUUGCAUCUGAAAAAUAUAUUGGCAUGGAAAAAUGUUACUGUAUAACUUGCACUGUUUAAUGGAGAAAUGACAACAGGAAAUAAGGCAAAAAAUUUUUCACUUGUUAAAAUUAAUCAAAAAAUCAUGAUUACAGAGGGCAUCAACAGGAUAUCGCUGGCACUGGGGUUCCAGAGAAGUAAAAAUAUUUUAAAACCCCCUUUUAUUUAAUUUUAAAAAAGAUAAGUAUAUGCAUAUAUGUUACUAACCACAGUGUUUCAGAAAUGUCUAUGAAUCAAAAUAGAAAAUUCUGACUCAGUAUUGUUACUGAGUACACAACUCAGAGCAAUUAAAUUCAAGUGAUCUUGGAGCCUUUGUAACAGCUUUUUCUUCUGUUAGCUCAUUUUAUUUAUUCAACAUUUUAAUUUCCUUAAAACAUCCCAGGAACAAACAAAUAACUUUCUUAAUGUCACUUUGCCAUACAAUCAAUCAUAUCUGUUGUAAUAAUGUUAAGAAAUUAUGAAAGAUAAAGUAUUCAGUGAUAAUAUGGAAAUGUAAUAAAGAAGAGAAUCAUUGUAUGAGCAUUUUUUAUGAAAGAGUCUGACAGGUUCUUUAAAAAGGAAUGGAAUUUGUUCAUGACUAUUUUUAGAGAAGGGUAAUUUCCAUAAUAUGACAUGUUUGUUAUAGCUUUGUCAGAGAUUUCAUAAUUGAAAUUUCAUUUGUUUGCCAUGGUAGGAUAUGGCAUAAUGAUAUCAGAAACAUGGAAACAUUUUUUUAAGGUGGCCAAGGUUAAUAUCACAACUGAUAAGAGAGAUAUGAUUAUACUGCAAUAUUUCUCUUCAUUGGGAAGUACAGAGGAUCUGAGAAAAACCCUUAAGGUUUUUAAAGCCACACUGUUGUGUGAGUAGCCAAAGAAAUACAAUAGAUACCUAAUUGAAUCUAGCAACUCAACAAUAAAAAUACUAUUAAUUAUUCAAACAGACAAGACAUGCAGCAAUUAUUGUCUCUAUUUACCUUUUAGGUACAUUUAGAAUGCUCAAAAUAUAUCACACUGUGCAACUGCCAGCUAACAGCUGUCCUACUUUUCCCCUGACUUUUAUGCCUUCCUUACAAACAGCUCAGAAAGGAUAGAGACCAGAUUGACUCCUAAGAAGGUCCAAGGCACACUAAGUGGCUGACCACUGUCCUGGUCACAGUGUGACACACCAAGGAAGGGCAGCUCACAUAAGGAAUUCAAGAAAAAUAAAGAAGUAUCUUAAUUAUCAAUGUGACCAGUCCAUGGAAUCAGAGCUAUCACAAGGGAAGAAAUGCAGAAUAAAAGAACUCUGUAAGGAGAAUCCUAGCCAUAUCAGCUAAUAACCACCUAGAAAGCGAUGAGACACAGCAGCAGAGAAAACUGGCAUGAAAGAAGACAAAAAAAGGAGCCUGGCUUCUUUCAUCUGUGAACAUCUGUUCUAAGGGCAGGGAGUCCUGUUUCUCACACUGAACAGUGCUUGCUACAAAACCAGAAAAGCCAAAUGGGCGGGAGCUCCAUCUUCCCAGGCAAAUGCCAUAACCUUGGGAUUCCUGUGGUCUUUUUUUUCCCUGGUGCCCAAGGUGCCAAAGCUCCCAUGCAGUCCGAUCUGCUCCCAAAAGCUCAGGAAGCCUACAAGAAUGAAGUUCACCCUAAGGGACAGAGUCAUUGAAGAUAAUGGCAAGAACGUCUCUAAUCUCAGAGACAGACCAGAUCGGCUGAAAUACCCUGAACUGGUUCUGAGGAGCAGAAGAGCACGUAUUAGUGAAUGCAGGAGUAAAUUACACCAUCUUUUUUAAAGGGAUCACAGACAGACAGUGGAAGAAGAUGGAACAGGAAAGUAGGAAAAUGGGAGGCAAAGGGCAUUUUUGGUGUAAAGUGCUGGAAAGGAAGACACCAGGAAGGCUCAGAAAAGUGAUACUUCUUCAAGUAAAGACCUGGCAGAGAUCGUAUCAGGGCCAAACAGAGCAGAAACCCAUGUUCUUAUGAAAGCACAUUUGAUUGCCAUCCUGUGGGAAAGAUGCUGGUUAAGGGUCAGAAAAAAACCUCUAUCUCUACCUCUCAAUUCCAAGUGAAUUGGCUUAGCUGUGAAAUGAGAAUGUACUGCAGCCAUCUAAAAGUGAGUAUCAAUUAUUUUCCUAUAGUGCAACCAGGCUGCUUUGCGAGAUAACCCAGUAAUGAAGGAAGCAUCUUUUCCAGCCCCAUGAGGCAGAGCAUCUUCACACAGCUUCUCACAACAGGCUGUGCCUGAAGGCACAAUUUUGUACCCUGCUGAAGUGAUCAAAUGAAC